GGCGUGCUUCAAACAUGCAAGUCGAACGGAGUUAAUUUUGAAGCUUGCUUUAGAAUUAACUUAGUGGCGGACUGGUGAGUAACGCGUGAGUAAUCUGCCUAUCACAGGGGGAUAACAGAGGGAAACUUCUGCUAAUACCGCAUAAGCGCACAGGAAGACAUCUUCCGGUGUGAAAAACUCCGGUGGUACAGGAUGGGCCCGCGUCUGAUUAGCUGGUUGGCGGGGUAAUGGCCCACCAAGGCAACGAUCAGUAGCCGGUCUGAGAGGAUGAACGGCCACAUUGGAACUGAGACACGGUCCAAACUCCUACGGGAGGCAGCAGUGGGGAAUAUUGCACAAUGGGGGAAACCCUGAUGCAGCAACGCCGCGUGAGUGAAGAAGUAUUUCGGUAUGUAAAGCUCUAUCAGCAGGGAAGAUAAUGACGGUACCUGACUAAGAAGCUCCGGCUAAAUACGUGCCAGCAGCCGCGGUAA
rnacentral:rRNA from 1 species